GGCUAANUACGUGCAGCAGCGCGGUAAUACGUAGUGGCANGCGUGUCNGGAUUAUGGGGCGUAAGCGAGCGCAGCGGUUUCUUAAGUCUGAUGUGAAGCCCACGGCUCAACGUGGAGGUNNCAUNGGAAACUGGGAACUGNAGUACAGAGAGGGAGAGUGGAAUUCCACGUGUAGCGGUGAAAUGCGUAGAGAUGUGGAGGAACACCAGUGGCGAAGGCGACUCUCUGGUCUGUAACUGACGCUGAGGUACGAAAGCGUGGGGAGCGAACAGGAUUAGAUACCCUGGUAGUCCACGCCGUAAACGAUGAGUGCUAAGUGUUAGAGGGUUUCCGCCCUUUAGUGCUGCAGCAAACGCAUUAAGCACUCCGCCUGGGGAGUACGGCCGCAAGGCUGAAACUCAAAGGAAUUGACGGGGGCCCGCACAAGCGGUGGAUUAUGUGGUUUAAUUCGAUGAUACGCGAGGAACCUUACCAAGGCUUAAAUGGGAAUUGACAGACGCAGAAAUGUGUUUUUCUUCGGACAAUUUUCAAGGUGCUGCAUGGUUGUCGUCAGCUCGUGCCGUGAGGUGUUAGGUUAAGUCCUGCAACGAGCGCAACCCCUGUCACUAGUUGCCAUCAUUAAGUUGGGGACUCUAGUGAGACUGCCUACGCAAGUAGAGAGGAAGGUGGGGAUGACGUCAAAUCAUCACGGCCCUUACGCCUUGGGCCACACACGUAAUACAAUGGCCGGUACAGAGGGCAGCUACACAGCGAUGUGAUGCGAAUCUCGAAAGCCGGUCUCAGUUCGGAUUGGAGUCUGCAACUCGACUCUAUGAAGCUGGAAUCGCUAGUAAUCGCGCAUCAGCCAUGGCGCGGUGAAUACGUUCCCGGGCCUUGUACACACCGCCCGUCAAGCCAUGGAAGUCUGGGGUACCUGAAGUCGGUGACCGUAACAGGAGCUGCCUAGGGUAAAACAGGUAACUAGGGCUAAGUCGUAACAAGGUAGCC
rnacentral:rRNA from 1 species